rnacentral:rRNA from 1 species
GAUGAACGCUGGCGGCGUGCCUAAUACAUGCAAGUCGAGCGAACGGACGAGAAGCUUGCUUCUCUGAUGUUAGCGGCGGACGGGUGAGUAACACGUGGAUAACCUACCUAUAAGACUGGGAUAACUUCGGGAAACCGUAGCUAAUACCGGAUAAUAUUUUGAACCGCAUGGUUCAAAAGUGAAAGACGGUCUUGCUGUCACUUAUAGAUGGAUCCGCGCUGCAUUAGCUAGUUGGUAAGGUAACGGCUUACCAAGGCAACGAUGCAUAGCCGACCUGAGAGAGUGAUCGGCCACACUGGAACUGAGACACGGGCCAGACUCCGACGGGAGGCAGCAGUAGGGAAUCUUCCGCGAUGGGCGAAAGCCUGACGGAGCAACGCCGCGUGGGUGAUGAAGGUCUUCGGAUCGUAAAACUCUGUGAUUAGGGAAGAACAUAUGUGUAAGUAACUGUGCACAUCUUGACGGUACCUAAUCAGAAAGCCACGGCUAACUACGUG